UGGGAACCUCUGUGUCGCUGCCAACGAUCAUCCUCCAAAUCUUCAAAAUCAUUCAAGACUUAGAACUCCACCACCUCCAAUAUCACAUGCUCACACCCCAAAUCAACACCACGCAGCGUCCAUCAACUCCCUAAACAGAGGGAACUUCACUCCUCGCAGCAACCCCAGCCCAGCUCCUACAGACCACUCUCUUUCUGGAGAACAACCAGCCAGCACUCAAGAGCCAGCCCAUGCUCAGGACAACUGGUUACUUAACAGUAACAUCCCACUGGAGACUAGAAACAUAGCAAAGCAGACAUUCCUAGAGACAUUGCAGGACAACCUCAUUGAGAUGGA